rnacentral:lncRNA from 1 species
GAUGAACUAGGCAAUGGCACCCCACUCCAGUACUCUUGCCUGAAAAGUCCCAUGGACAGAGGAGCCUGGUAGGCUGCAGUCCAUGAGAUCGCGAAGAGUAGGACACGACUGACCGACUUCACUUUCACUUUUCACUUUCAUGCAUUGGAGAAGGAAAUGGCAACCCACUCCAGUGUUCUUGCCUGGAGAAUCCCAGGGAUGGGGGAGCCUGGUGGGCUGCCGUCUAUGGGGUCGCACAGAUUCGGACACGACUGAAGCGACUUAGCAGCAGCAGCAGCAGCAGCAGUAAUUCACUAGUGGCCAAGUGACUCUUCCUGAACUCACUGGUUCAGCCUCUAAGCUGGCUCCAGAAGCCUCAAUCCUCUCGCCUUGGUGUUUGGAAGCUUUGUGAGGAGGACAUUGCAGUAGGCAGCUGAGUUAGGCUCCAGUAUGCUCAGGGUCUGCUUGUGAGUGACCUGCUCUCUCCGGUACCUCAUUCUCUGUAUUCCCAGUGUAGGGGUGGAGACGAGCAUAAUAAGUCUCAGAAAUAUCAAAAUGAGCUCCUCAGCAGGAAUGGUUGGAGACCCUGGAGAAGAUUGGUCAAUGUCUCUUGCUGAAGUCAGAGAAAAGAUGAAGGAGGAAACAGACAGAGCUGGACUCCAUUGUAGGCUAGGCUGCAAACAUUAGGCUACACGCAUGGUCACCCUCCCAAUGGACUCUCAACUUUGUGUCCGGUGUCUAUAGAAGUGGCAUACCAAUGGAAAACCAGACCCCCUGGAUAAAAGAGCCUCAGGACUUGUACUUGGACUCUCCAUUGCCUAAAAGUAUAUGCUAAUUAUCUCUGUAACAGAACAAAGUCGUAAAUUCCAUUAUUUUAUCGAGAUAUGACCACAGUCCUAUUGAUAAAUGUCCACUGUUUAUCUAGUCUUGUAACACAUGAAUCAUGGGUUAACUUUGAUUGCAUCUCUCUUUUACCUUGUCCAGACUAGUUUCAAGGAAUUUGGGGAGGUGGGUGUGAGCAAGUACACUUAGGGUAUAUAAGGUUUUCACAAAAACUGGUCUGGGUCCUUGGCUAAGAGGAGACUCUGCCUUGGGCCCGCCGGUGUAAUAAACUGCACUCCACUAUCUGCAUUGUCCUUCUGAGUGAGUUUGUUUCCCAGAACGCUUGGCUACAACACAGAGACACAAGGAGAUUUGGGAGUAUAAAUGAAUAAUGUUUGGUGCCAUCCUAAAAUGUUCUAAGAAAGCAAGGAUUUUAGAGAUUAUCACUGGUAUUUAUGCUCAACAAUCUAUAAAAUGCUAAUAUAAAAGUUCUUGG